ensembl:lncRNA
AGGAACAACAGGUGAGGCUGUUUGUCUGAGCAGACAGUCAGAACGAAUGUAUGUGCACUUGAGCAUUUAGGCCUAUUUUUUUUUUCUUUAUUUUAAUUAGUUAAUUAUGUUCAUUUAAAUAUUUUGAAUAUUUAUAUCGUCAUUUUCGUUUCAAAUUUUAUAAAUAGACUCGGCUCUUCUGAAAUGCGAGCCGGCUCCCAACGUUCACCUACAAGACUCGUUCGCGAACGGCCCAAAGCAGUCUGGACUGGUUGAAGCAGAGUGGGAAGGAUUAUUUUGAAAGUGUUUCAGUCUGCCGUGAAUCAUCAUAAUCCAUACACUGCAUAAACCUGCUCUCCGCCACCAGCAAAAUUAGAUGAUUGAGGGUGAACAUGCAACACAUCAGCUUUAAUUGUCUGGAGCCUGGUGGUGUUGUAGCCAUGGAGCUUUCACUCAGAUGGAACCAGGUUACAGCUGCUGUGCAACGUUGACGUCCUUCCUCCCAGACAUGUGAAUGCAUCCCACUGGACACAACCCGGCAAACAUAUUUUUGAGAAAAUCAGGACUUUUGCAAUGAAAAGGCCAUGGACAUUAUAUGUCCUGAUCCAAAGGGCAGAAUAGAAAUAUGCUCCCAGGCUAGAUUCCUUUGUUCAUAUCAUAACAUGACCUGAACCAAAGUUAUUCUAAGGAUCUUGUGAUAUAGGCCUAGGUCAAUAUAUUGUUUUUACCUAAGCCUUUGUGUUUGUGUGUUUUUAAGUUUUUCGUAAUUGCAGGCUACUACCUUUAGCACUUGCAGUUAAUCAAGUAUUUUUGAAAUAUUGUCUUUGUUUUUUAAGCACUACCUCACUGCUUUAGCACAUUGCCAUGGUCACCUGUUCCAAUGUGAAUUUUUUAAGAGACGGGUAGGUCUAAGCCGUUAGAGUGUGUGAACGAUGCUAAAUGGGCAUAAACAAAGAACAGCACUGUAGCUGUUCAAUGUGAAAGGUUAUUUUUAUUAUACAGCAAUAAGCAAUGUAAUACUGUACAUGGUUUGCCUAAUGGGGUAACUUGGUAUUAGUAUUCCUAUAGAAAAGUAUUCCUUUUCUAAAUAUAUGUUUCCCAAGUAUUAAUGUAGAGGAUGUGUGAAAAUCACAGCAAAAUGUUUGAAUGCCCUUUUCUCCCAAAUGGGAUUUGAAGUUUAGCAAUUUUUAAAGCAGCAUUACUUACCCACGUUUCCUCCAACUGCAGUGUAUGAUAUACCAUUUUGAAGCAUCUGUACUUUUAUCCAAUGUAAAAAAUUCAUUAAAUGUUGAACAUAAGACUGAAAAGAGAUGGUGGGUCACACAUGACUUAAAUGUAAUGUUAUUAUGGGUUUUUGGAGUAUGAGAGUAGAAGAAUGCCGCUGUGUGAAGCAAUUGUACAUUCUCAGAAACCCCAACAAUUCACAAAGCAAAUACAUAAAAUUCAUAUCAAACGACAGUCGUUAAAGGCAUCAUUCAGUUGAAUCAGCUUGUCUCCCUUUAAUUGUGUUAUAUUGAGGGACAUUUAGAGUGGUGUUGAAGUGCUGUAAAUUGAGGCAUCGAUUUUCCUGUUUCUUUGAGCUGGGAAUAAGAUCAUUUGAAGAGUUUUCUUAUCGGCCCAGGUCAGACGUUGGCGUUUAUACACUGAAAAAGUCAACUUUGGCCAGUUUUCAAGUCUUUUUCACAGUCAAAGCCAUUCACCAUAAACGUUUACAGCGGAACAUAUGUGUAUGGAGAAGCCACCUACCAGCCUGCCAAGAAUUCUCUAAAUGAAUAUGCAUUUAAUGAAUAUACUUUACAUAUAAAACUGCUACUAAUCCCAAUUAUCCCAUGCAUAUUGUAAAGCAGCUUGUCUUUGAGCCAAAAUAAAGGGUCCAGGCCAAUCAACGUGUGUUAACCCCUUUAGGGAGGGAACCACUGUGUUUGAGAGGCUAAGAGAUACAGCAGACACACACACACACUGGAUACCUCAACAAUGGACACAAACACUGGAUCCCUCAACAACACACAUAAACACGAUACCACAACAACACAUAUAUAAAUACCAGAUACCUCAACAACACAUAUAUAAAUACUGGAUACCUCAACAACACAUAUAAACACUGGAUACCACAACAACACACAUAAACACUGGAUACCACAACAACACACAUAAAUACUGGAUACCACAACAACACACAUAAACACUGGAUACCUCAAUACACACAAACACUGGAUACCUCAACAAUGGACACAAACACUGGAUCCCUCAACAACACACACAUAAACACUGGAUACCACAACAACACAUAUAAAAAUACCAGAUACCUCAACAACACAUAUAUAAAAUACCAGAUACCUCAACAACACAUAUAUAAAUACUGGAUACCUCAACAACACAUAUAUAAAUACUGGAUACCACAACAACACACAUAAACACUGGAUACCACAACAACACAUAUAUAAAUACUGGAUACCUCAACAACACAUAUAUAAAUACUGGAUACCACAACAACACAUAUAUAAAUACUGGAUACCUCAACAACACAUAUAUAAAUACUGGAUACCACAACAACAAAUAUAUAAAUACUGGAUACCACAACAACAAAUAUAUAAAUACUGGAUACCUCAACAACACAUAUAUAAAUACUGGAUACCUCAACAACACACAUAAACACUGGAUACCACAACAACACAUGUAUAAAUACUGGAUACCUCAACAACACACACAAACACUGGAUAUUUCAACAACACAAACAUUGGAUACCUCAACAAUGGACACAAACACUGGAUCCCUCAACAACACACACAUAAACACUGGAUAACUCAACAACACAAACACUGGAUACCUCAACAACACAAACACUGGAUAACUCAACAACACACACAUAAACACUGGAUACCUCAACAACACAAACACUGGAUACCUCAACAACAUAAACAUUGGAUACCUCAACAACAUAAACAUUGGAUAUCUCAACAACACAUAAACACUGGAUACCUGAACAACAACACAAACACUGGAUACCUCAACAACAGACAUAAACAUUGGAUAUCUCAACAACAAACCUAAACACUGGAUACCUGAACAACAGACAAACACUGGAUACCUGAACAACAGACAAACACUGGAUACCUCAACAACAGACAAACACUGGAUAGGUGAAAAACUGCAAUGCCAAAAGGGAAAGCAUAUAAAGCAUAUAUAAUACAGACUAUACCCCACACAAACUAUUUCAGGAAAAUGUAAAAGGCUCCUCUGUCACGUUCUGACCUUGGUUCCUUUGUUUUGUCUUUAUUUUAGUAUGGUCAGGGUGUGAGUUGGGGUGGGCAGUCUAUGUUUGUUUUUCUAUGUUGGUUUCUGUGUUCGGCCUAGUAUGGUUCUCAAUCAGAGGCAGGUGUCGUUAGUUGUCUCUGAUUGAGAAUCAUACUUCGUGGGUGUUUCGUGGGUGUUUAUUUUCUGUCUUUGUGUAUGUUGCCAGACAGGACUGUUUCGGUUUUCGUUCGUUCACUUUAUUGUUUUUGUAUUUCAGUGUUCAGUUUUGAUUAAUUAAAUAUUACAUCAUGAACACUUAUCACGCUGCAAAUUGGUCUUCCGAUCCUUCUUGCUACUCCUCCUCAGAAGAGGAGGACGAGAUCCAUUACAUCCUCAACCUGAAAUGGAAGUAGUCAUAUUGUCAUGCCCUGAUCUGUUUCACUUGUGCUUGACUCCACCCUCCUCCAGAUGUCGCCCAUCUUCCCCAUUAUUCCCAUGGUAUUUAUACCUGUGUUCUCUGUUUGUCUGUUGCCAGUUCGUCUUGUUUGUCAAGUCAACCAGCGUUUUGUCUCAGCUCUUGCUUUUUCACAGUCUCUCUUUUUCUCGCUUUCCUUGUUUGACUUUUGCCUGUCCUGACUCUGAGCCCGCCUGCCUGACCAUUCUGCCUGCCCCUGACCCUGACCCUGAGCCUGCCAUCCUGUGCCUUUGCCACUACUCUGGAUUAUCAACCCUUGCCUGCCUUUACCUGUCAUUUGCCUGUCC